UAUCUCGGCUGCAGCGCCAGAAGCCCCUCCGGGAGGCUGCGAGGGACUCUCGGUGGGUGGCGGUACAGCCGCCGCGGCCGCCAGUCUUCUGCUGUUGUUGCUGCUGCAGUCACGUGGGAGCCCCUUUAAGUUUCCAUAGAGAGGCCUCUCCGGUGUCACAUGAUGGACAUGAUAUAAUGAAACAACACUGUGGAGAGGAAAGCAUUAGGGGAGCCCACGGCUACAAAAACAAGUGAGUGAGAGGAGGUGGGAGGAAGAGAAACUACGCCACCUCCCCUGCGCCGAGCUGCUCGCAGCCGCCUGCGAUGGGGAGUGGGCGACGCUGGGGGCAGGGACAGGGGGUCUUCGCCCCUUGCUGAGGGACCCCGCCGCCAAUCGCAGAGAGGACAACUUUUAGCCGGCAGCCUCAGCGACCACUGCACCUGUCUCGAGUCUCCAUCGCUCCUAGUGACAAUCAAAGGGAAAUCCUAGAAGACUAUGCUCCACAAAUCAACAUGCGCAUCAUUUUCCCCCUGCGUCUCGCUCUGGAGGGAGGAAGGGGACCAGGACCCACGCAGCGUGCGUUCAGUCGGAAGGGUUAGAAAAAUUGGAAUAUUUUGCCAUCUGGAGUUUCUCUGCCUCGCUAAUCUAAGCUCCCACCUGCCAGUUCACGGAGAUGAUUGACAAGACCCAGGAAUGUCUGAGAGGUUACCAAAGAAUUUGAAGAAAUUGAGGCAGUGACAUGCCCAAGGCCACAAAAUGAAACAUUGCCAGAGUAGCUGGAUUUUGGAUCUGAUUUACUGGCUAUGUGGAACACUUAAUCCCUCUGAUUUCAGUUCCAACAGGUAUAAAAUGAGGAUAAUACUUGCUCUACCUAGGAUGUGAAGUUUUUAUGAGGAUCACACGAGAAAGUAAGUGAAAGAGCUUAUUAGUCAGCUAUAACGCAUUCUGUAAUUAUGAAGUAAUGGUGUUAAAAGUAAGUUACGCUUGAGGAUUUUGUGACAGUAUUUGGAAUAACUGGAGAAAAGGUAAAAUGUGACAGAAUCUGGGUUGAAAAUAAUUAUAAUACAUAAUCAUACUAAUAGAAUCUGCAAGAAUUUGCUUUUUUGCCUGUGUCAUGCUUUAUUAAUUACAUCACAGACAUUAUCAUAUUGGGGCCAUCAUAGAGUUUUGUAGUCAGGAACCGUGGCUGACGACCAACUAGGCAACCAGUUUAUGCCAUAGGAGCCUCAAAAUUACUGAACAUGUGGCUGUUUUGGUUGUUGUUAGAUGCCCUCGAGUUCGUUCUGACUCAUAGCAACCCUGUGUACAGCAGAAUGAAACACUGUCUGGUCCUGUGCCAUCCUCACAAUAGUUAGUUACUAUGUU